CGGGUGGUUACAGAGGCUUCACUGGAGAGAGUGGCGCCACCAAGCGCCUUUCCUGAGAACUACACUCAGCAUCUCAGCCUCAAACCACCUGAGCUUUGAAUUGUGUCUGUGAGUUAUCUGGACUUUAUCUCAAUUUAUUUUGUGUAUCCGUUGCCACGGUGUGUGGUAAGGUAUCAGAAGAACCGAAAAGGUGGUUUCUGGGGGAUCUGGAUCAGAAAUGUUUCCAUAUACAUGAACAGUAAUCGCUCCUUCAUAGGAAGACUUUUCCGCUUACAGUGGGCAUGCUCUACUUUGGAAGACCAGGGAACCUGUAUGUGGACUGUGCCUCCCUACGAGGAUCCACCAGUCCGGGGCACGUGGGUGAGACUGGAGGGCUGGAGGAGGUAGAAGGGCCUGCUCCUUGCUUGCUGAACAGUGCUGCGAGUGUCACACCAACAGCAAUUCUUUCUGGAAAUUUAAAAAUGGGCAGAGGAUCAGAAGAGACAUUUUUCCAAAGAAGACAUACAGAUGGCCAACAGGUGACAUCAAUACUUGGUGCUUCCUCUUUGGCUUUGUAUGGCAUGGUUAUCCCCACUCGAAGACCUGUGAGUACAAUAAACUCCCUUGAAGAAGAGCCUCGUCCUCAUUUCUUCCUGUGGCUACACCAACUUUACCAUGUAUCUCCAACAUUUACACUCUCGGAACAAGUAUUAUAAAUUUGAUAAUUUUUCACAAAAUAUACACUUGAUUUAUAUUUAUUGUUAAAACACUAUUAAUGCAUGUUAAUUAUACCUAAAUAAAAACAUAUCAUGCAGAACACUGUUAGACUCUAGCGAAAAUUUAAAACGAAAUAUAAUACGUAUAUCAUACCAUUUCAGUUAAACCAUCACUUUCCUUUUCAAGCCUGCCUUUCUAAUUUUGUUCCAUAUACUUUCCUCUUUGUAAGAUUAACAAGAAAAUAUGAAUGAUCUACACUAAUUACAGUGCUCAGGUAUGUAAAAACACUUCCUUCUAUGUCAUUCUGAGACCUUACGAAGGAAAGGAGUGAUCAGAGAAACAGGAUGGAAACUAGAAGAGAGUCGUGUCCAGAUGCCCAGGAAGGAGAAUAUUUCUAGAAGGAAGCGAUGCGCCAUGUCAAAUGCUAGUGAAAGAUCCAGCAACGAGAGAUCUGAACAUGCUUAUUGGAUUUAGCAGCAGGUUUUAAUAAAGUGUUGGCAAACCUUUCAAUCAGUUUGGCUGUGAGAAGGGAAGGAAAAUAAAGUGCUGGAGCUGGAGACACAAUGAGACUAA
rnacentral:lncRNA from 1 species